AAAAUUAUAAAUCCUAAUGUUGCUGAUUUUGCCUACAUCGAAUUCUUUUCUGCAUUUUGAUUUCGCGCCAAAAUCUCUGUUGUCGGAGAGACGUCCAAUUAGGGGUAUGAUUUAAAAUCUGUUGCAAAAGGGUGGGGGAAAAGCAACAUCAAUUUUUACUAUAGUGACACAGUGGACAUUUCAAAUCAAAUCAUGUUAUAAUCGCGAGCAAGCUUUAUCAAUUCUUUUUGGCUAAGUAAUCAUCAUUGGGUACCUCAUCAUGAUAUGUCCGAGGUCAAAGCUCAAUGGCCCCAAUGAGAAUUGUAACAUAAAAGGUCGUGAGAAAAAGAAAGAAAAAAAGAGGUUCACGGGAUCAAAGAACAAACCGAAUAGCUGCCUGUCUCUUUGCGGAUUGCCCGGCAUUUUUUCUUCCAACUCUCAAAUAUAUGUAUUCACAGUGUAA
rnacentral:lncRNA from 1 species